CCAAUAGCGUAUAUUAAAGUUGUUGCAGUUAAAAAGCUCGUAGUUGAAUUUCGGGAUCAAAUUGUUGGUCGUGCUUCGGUACGCACCGGCAUUAUUGGUUUCUACCUUCUGAAGAACCGCGAUGUCAUUAAUUUGGUGUCGUGGGGAAUCAGGACUGUUACUUUGAAAAAAUUAGAGUGUUUAAAGCAGGCGCACGCUUGAAUACAUUAGCAUGGAAUAAUGAAAUAGGACGUUUGAUUCUAUUUUGUUGGUUUCUAGGAUCGACGUAAUGAUUAAUAGGGAUAGUUGGGGGCAUUAGUAUUCAAUUGUCAGAGGUGAAAUUCUUGGAUUUAUUGAAGACUAACUACUGCGAAAGCAUUUGCCAAGGAUGUUUUCAUUAAUCAAGAACGAAAGUUAGGGGAUCGAAGACGAUCAGAUACCGUCGUAGUCUUAACCAUAAACUAUGCCGACUAGGGAUCGGAUGAUGUUAAUUUUUUAAUGACUCAUUCGGCGCCUUACG
rnacentral:rRNA from 1 species